rnacentral:rRNA from 1 species
GACGAGGGGUCCUAGCGUUGUUCGGAAUCAUUGGGCGUAAAGCGUGUGUAGGUGGCCAUUCAAGUCAGUUGUGAAAGCCCCGGGCUCAACCCGGGAAGUGCUUCUGAUACUGUUUGGCUUGAGUACUGGAGAGGAUAGUAGAAUUCCUGGUGUAGUGGUGAAAUACGUAGAUAUCAGGAGGAAUACCGGUGGCGAAGGCGGCUAUCUGGCCAUGUACUGACGCUGAGACACGAAAGCGUGGGGAGCAAACAGG